GAUGAACGCUGGCGGCGUGCCUAAUACAUGCAAGUCGAGCGAACAGAUGAGGAGCUUGCUCCUCUGACGUUAGCGGCGGACGGGUGAGUAACACGUGGAUAACCUACCUAUAAGACUGGGAUAACUUCGGGAAACCGGAGCUAAUACCGGAUAAUAUAUUGAACCGCAUGGUUCAAUAGUGAAAGACGGUUUUGCUGUCACUUAUAGAUGGAUCCGCGCCGCAUUAGCUAGUUGGUAAGGUAACGGCUUACCAAGGCAACGAUGCGUAGCCGACCUAAGAGGGUGGUAGGCGACAUGGGAACGGAGACGGGGACCAGACUCCUGCGGGAGGCAGCAGUAGGGAAUGGUCCGCAAUGGGCGAAAGCCUGACGGAGCAACGCGGCGUGAGUGAUGAAGGUCUUCGGAUCGUAAAACUCGGUUAUUAGGGAAAAACAAAUGUGUAAGUAACUAUGCACGGCUUGACGGUACCUAAUCAGAAAGCCACGGCUAACUACGUG
rnacentral:rRNA from 1 species